rnacentral:rRNA from 1 species
CAGCCGCCGCGGUAAAACGUAGGGUGCAAGCGUUGUCCGGAAUUAUUGGGCGUAAAGAGCUCGUAGGCGGUCUGUUACGCCGGCUGUGAAAACCUGGGGCUCAACCCCGGGCCUGCAGUCGGUACGGGCAGACUAGAAUUCGGUAGGGGAGACUGGAAUUCCUGGUGUAGCGGUGAAAUGCGCAGAUAUCAGGAGGAACACCGGUGGCGAAGGCGGGUCUCUGGGCCGAUAUUGACGCUGAGGAGCGAAAGCGUGGGGAGCAAACAGGAUUAGAGACCCGCGUAGUCCCUGUCUCUUAUAA